GAUGAAGAACGUAGCGAAAUGCGAUAAGUAAUGUGAAUUGCAGAAUUCAGUGAAUCAUCGAAUCUUUGAACGCACAUUGCGCCCGCCAGUAUUCUGGCGGGCAUGCCUGUUCGAGCGUCAUUUCAACCAUCAAGCCCCCGGCUUGUGUUGGGGACCUGCGGCUGCCGCAGGCCCUGAAAACCAGUGGCGGGCUCGCUAGUCACUCCGAGCGUAGUAAUACAUCUCGCUCAGGGCGUGCUGCGGGUUCCGGCCGUUAAAAAGCCUUAUUUACCCAAGGUUGACCUCGGAUCAGGUAGGAAGACCCGCUAAACUUAAGCAUAUCAAUAAGCGGAGGA
rnacentral:misc_RNA from 1 species